UCCUGGUGGCUCAAAUGGUAAAGAAUCUGCCUGCAAUGCAGGAAAUCUAGGUUUGACCCCUGGGUCAGGAA
rnacentral:tRNA from 1 species